rnacentral:rRNA from 1 species
UACGUAGGGGGCUAGCGUUGUCCGGAAUCAUUGGGCGUAAAGAGCGCGCAGGCGGCUGGUCAAGUCCGAUGUGAAAUCUCCCGGCUUAACUGGGAAACUGCAUCGGAAACUGAUCGGCUUGAAGGUGGGAGAGGGUAGUGGAAUUCCCGGUGUAGUGGUGAAAUGCGUAGAUAUCGGGAGGAACACCUGUGGCGAAGGCGGCUUUCUGGGCCUUACCUGACGCUGAGACGCGAAAGCGUGGGGAGCGAACCGG